GAAUGAACGUUGGCGGCGUGCUUAAUACAUGCAAGUCGAGCGAGAACGUCCCUUCGGGGAUUAGUACAGCGGCGGACGGGUGAGUAACAUGUGAGAAUCUGCCCUUUAGUGAAGAAUACACUCGAGAAAUCGAGCUUAAUACUGCAUAAGUCCCUACGGGGAGAAAGGUGGCUUUAUGCUGCCGCUAAAGGAUGAGCUUGCGUACUAUUAGCUUGUUGGUGGGGUAAAGGCCUACCAAGGCAAUGAUGGUUAACCGGCCUGAGAGGGUGAUCGGUCACACUGGAACUGAGACACGGUCCAGACUCCUACGGGAGGCAGCAGUAGGGAAUAUUGCGCAAUGGGCGAAAGCCUGACGCAGCGACGCCGCGUGGAGGAUGAAGGUUUUCGGAUCGUAAACUCCUGUUAAGUGGGAAGAAAAUCCUGCCUUUAAUAGAGGCUAGGUUAUGACGGUACCACUAGAGAAAGCACCGGCUAACUUCGUGCCAGCAGCCGCGGUAAUACGAGGGGUGCAAACGUUAUUCGGAUUAAUUGGGCGUAAAGGGUGCGUAGACGGCUUGUUAAGUCUGUUGUUAAAUUCUCCGGCUUAAUCGGAGGCAAGCAAUAGAUACUAAUGAGCUAGAGGAUAAAAGAGAGAAGUGGAAUUCCCGGAGUAGCGGUAAAAUGCACAGAUCUCGGGAGGAACACCAAUGGCGAAGGCAGCUUCUUGGUUUAUUCCUGACGUUGAGGCACGAAAGCGUGGGUAGCAAACAGGAUUAGAUACCCUGGUAGUCCACGCCGUAAACGAUGAUCACUAGAUGUUGGUUCGGCCUAGCUGAAUCAGUAUCGUAGCUAACGCGUUAAGUGAUUCGCCUGGGGACUACGGUCGCAAGACUAAAACUCAAAGGAAUUGACGGGGGUCCGCACAAGCGGUGGAACAUGUGGUUUAAUUCGACACUCCGCGAGGAACCUUACCUGGGUUUGACAUGCUUUUGACAUCCGUAGAAAUGCGGCCUUCUAGGUUUCGGCUUAGACAAUUGCACAGGUGCUGCAUGGCUGUCGUCAGCUCGUGUCGUGAGAUGUUAGGUUAAGUCCUCUAACGAGCGCAACCCUUGCUAUCAGUUGCCAGUUGCCUUAGGGCAAGGCACUCUGAUGGGACUGCCUGGGAAACCAGGAGGAAGGUGGGGACGACGUCAAGUCAUCAUGGUCCUUAUACCCAGGGCUACACACGUGUUACAAUGGUUGAUACAAAGGGUUGCGAGCCUGUAAAGGCAAGCUAAUCCCCAAAGUCAAUCUAAGUUCGGAUUGAGGUCUGCAACUCGACCUCAUGAAGUUGAAAUCGCUAGUAAUCGCGUAUCAGCAACGGCGCGGUGAAUACGUUCACGGGCCUUGUACACACUGCCCGUCACGCCACGAAAGCUGUUUGUACCCAAAGUCGCUUUAGCUAACCCGAAAGGGAGGCGAGCGCCUAAGGUGUGGAUAGUGAUUGGGGU
rnacentral:rRNA from 1 species